AACCCAAUAAUUAACCCAAAAAAUUAAACAAUCUUUUAAAUAUUAAUAAUCUCUUUUUAAAUUAAAAAAAUCAUCUUAGCCACAUAUCUCUCUAACAAACCUAUCUUCGAAGAAUAUUAAUAAUUUUUUUUAAUUUUAUAAUAAUAAAUAAUCGCAAUUUUUCUCCCUCUUGAUUUUCUCUCUCAAAUCCAAAUCUUAUAUUGUGAUUGCCCUAUAUUCUACGAAGAAAAUUGCUUCUGAUCGACGAGCACCACAGAGGGGAAAAACCAGCAUUGCAAAACAGAAGACAAUUUGGUAGAGAGAAAAGCUAAAACUCUAAUCCCUUUUCUUGACUGCCAACGAUUGGAGAUGACUCCUUUCAGGUUGUAGCAAGAAAAGUUAAAAACCAAUAUACAUGGAAGGAUUGCUUUGAAGCAGUUGAAGGUAUAUUGUAUUUAUUAUGCUUUAUUCUGUGGGGUUCUUUACUUGUAAAAUUGGGCAUUGCAAAUCAUUGGUGGCGACUUGCACUAUUUGAGUUCUUCCUAAGGUAUUUCUUCCUUAUUGUGAUCUUCAUGGAAGAGUUAUUAGUUUUCUAUGUAAUAGUGAUUGUUCCUUAUAUUUCAUCAGGAGGGGAUUCUUCUUAGUCUAUGUUUAUGUAAUGGCUUCCAUGAAAUUUUCUUAUAAAUAAAAAAUAGUAAAGUUCUCCAUUUUUCAAAA